rnacentral:rRNA from 1 species
UACGAAGGGGGCUAGCGUUGCUCGGAAUCACUGGGCGUAAAGGGUGCGUAGGCGGGUCUUUAAGUCAGGGGUGAAAUCCUGGAGCUCAACUCCAGAACUGCCUUUGAUACUGGAGAGCUUGAGUUCGAGAGAGGUGAGUGGAAUUCCGAGUGUAGAGGUGAAAUUCGUAGAUAUUCGGAGGAACACCAGUGGCGAAGGCGGCUCACUGGCUCGGUACUGACGCUGAGGUGCGAAAGCGUGGGGAGCAAACAGG